rnacentral:tRNA from 1 species
CGGGGCGUAGCGCAGCCUGGUAGCGCGUCGGUUUUGGGUACCGAAGGUCGUGGGUUCGAAUCCCGCCGCCCCGACCA